AUGAACGCUGGCGGCGUGCCUAAUACCUGCAAGUCGAGCGAACAGAUGAGGAGCUUGCUCCUCUGACGUUAGCGGCGGACGGGUGAGUAACACGUGGAUAACCUACCUAUAAGACUGGGAUAACUUCGGGAAACCGGAGCUAAUACCGGAUAAUAUAUUGAACCGCAUGGUUCAAUAGUGAAAGACGGUUUUGCUGUCACUUAUAGAUGGAUCCGCGCCGCAUUAGCUAGUUGGUAAGGUAACGGCUUACCAAGGCAACGAUGGGUAGCCGACCUGAGAGGGUGAUCGGCCACACUGGAACUGAGACACGGUCCAGACUCCUACGGGAGGCAGCAGUAGGGAAUCUUCCGCAAUGGGCGAAAGCCUGACGGAGCAACGCCGCGUGAGUGAUGAAGGUCUUCGGAUCGUAAAACUCUGUUAUUAGGGAAGAACAAAUGUGUAAGUAACUAUGCACGUCUUGACGGUACCUAAUCAGAAAGCCACGGCUAACUACGUG
rnacentral:rRNA from 1 species